rnacentral:rRNA from 1 species
UACGUAGGGUGCAAGCGUUGUCCGGAAUUAUUGGGCGUAAAGAGCUCGUAGGCGGUCUGUCGCGUCGGCUGUGAAAACUCGAGGCUCAACCUCGAGACGCCGAUGGAAACCAUCUGACUAGAGUCCGGAAGAGGAGAGUGGAAUUCCUGGUGUAGCGGUGAAAUGCGCAGAUAUCAGGAAGAACACCCGUGGCUAAGGCGGCUCUCUAGUACGGUACUGACGCUGAGACGCGAAAGCGUGGGGAGCGAACAGG